UUGAUCUUGAGUGGAUUUUCUCACGUCUGGUUGUAUGAAUCCUAAGUCAACGCCGUUUUUAGUGCGUUAUACUUCAAGCUGUAUUGCAAUUUUCAUGGUUGAACUGACAUCCACCUAAUAAUAGAGAGUUAAAAAGCCUCCAGCCUUGAAAAUAUUGUAAGAACCACCUUCAACCAUCCAAUCGCAAGAGAAACUCAUGCACAUCGUCGCUGUGAUCAUAAGCCAAACAAUUGACCAUUACUCAAUGAUCCCGUCGAACCGGUUCCUGCCCGCCUCGCAUGCAAAAAGACAAACCACACGGACAACUUUGAUCUCAGAUUUCACGGCGAUUGACAUUUCGAAUCAUGCCCAUCAUCGCCAGUUGAUCCUCUCGGAAGCUGCGCCCUGCAACGGACACCAUUGUCGUUUUCAUCAGUGUAUUAUUGUCUAUCUGAUCGUGAGGCAUGAAUAAUUUGGGCAGGCCAAUAACCGCUUUACGGACCGGCAUCGGCAGUAGCCAGAGUAUGCCUUUGUAACCGCCCACCCAGGCUUGUUUGAAAGGAAAAGGAACUGAUCUCCUCCGCAACAUCGUACCUUUGGAAGAUAAUAAACU